AUUGAACGCUGGCGGCAUGCCCUACACAUGCAAGUCGAACGGUAACAGGUCUUCGGAUGCUGCCGAGUGGCGAACGGUUGCGUAAUACAUCGGAACGUGCCCAGACCUGGGGGAUAACGAGGCGAAAGCUUUGCUAAUACCGCAUACGACCUCAGACGGAAAGCAGGGGACCGCAAGGCCUUUCGCGUUCUGAGCGGCUGAUGGCAGAUUAGGUAGUUGGUGGGAUAAAAGCUUACCAAGCCGACGAUCUGUAGCUGGUCUGAGAGGACGACCAGCCACACUGGGACUGAGACACGGCCCAGACUCCUACGGGAGGCAGCAGUGGGGAAUUUUGGACAAUGGGCGAAAGCCUGAUCCAGCAAUGCCGCGUGCAGGAUGAAGGCCUUCGGGUUGUAAACUGCUUUUGUACGGAAAGAAAAGGCGCUGGCUAAUACCUGGGGGACAUGACGGUACCGUAAGAAUAAGCACCGGCUAACUACGUG
rnacentral:rRNA from 1 species